CACUUCUUUACAAAUGCUGAAACGAGUAUAAUAUAUGUAAGAUUAUCAACAAUUAUGUUUCGACUAAGGAUCAGAAAGUAAAUAUAUAUAUGUUUGAUAUCAUAAUGAUGUAGUAUUAAAUUUAAAGAUUGCAUCCUCACUCUUGGUUGAUAAAACAAAAAUACUUGCACAUCCCUUCCCCACGAGAAAACGCAUUAUAUUUUGAAGAAAACCUUCAUUUAAAC
rnacentral:lncRNA from 1 species